rnacentral:ncRNA from 2 species
AAGGCUUGACAGGAUAGAGGCGCUGUAGUAUAAAGAAGAUAACAAUUUGAAUUAUAUAGGAAAGGGAAGGCUGUGUGAAUCAGCCGCGGUCCCGCCGCUGUAAGGGAUGACGAAACCUGCGAAAGACCACUGGCCUAAAGAGGCCGGGAAGGCGCAGGCGGUAGAGUGAAUCCUAAGUCAGAAGACCUGCCUGUAUAAAAGUAAGAAC